rnacentral:rRNA from 1 species
AUUGAACGCUGGCGGCAUGCCUUACACAUGCAAGUCGAACGGCAGCACGGGAGCUUGCUCCUGGUGGCGAGUGGCGAACGGGUGAGUAAUACAUCGGAACGUACCCAGUAGUGGGGGAUAACGCACCGAAAGGUGCGCUAAUACCGCAUACGACCUACGGGUGAAAGCGGGGGACCGUAAGGCCUCGCGCUAUUGGAGCGGCCGAUGUCUGAUUAGCUAGUUGGCGGGGUAAAAGCCCACCAAGGCGACGAUCAGUAGCUGGUCUGAGAGGACGAUCAGCCACACUGGGACUGAGACACGGCCCAGACUCCUACGGGAGGCAGAAGUGGGGAAUUUUGGACAAUGGGGGCAACCCUGAUCCAGCAAUGCCGCGUGUGCGAAGAAGGCCUUCGGGUUGUAAAGCACUUUUGUCAGGGAAGAAACACCGGCUCUAACACAGUCCGGGAAUGACGGUACCUGAAGAAUAAGCACCGGCUAACUACGUGCCAGCAGCCGCCGUAA